rnacentral:lncRNA from 1 species
UCCAGCAACUGCACGGUUUUGGGAAAUGGAUUGGGAAUUCACGGUCCCACAUGCUUGUGAGGUGGAGAAAAUAAUUUGCAUCCAAAUUAUGAAAUUGGGUCUCGGCUGGAGCAAUUUUUGUUCCACUCUUGGGAUAUUUAAUUGAAGAAAAAAAUGAAAUGGGAUUUGUUGAAUCUGGAAGCAUCAACCUCACGGUCCAGAGGUUUAUUCUAUAAGCUAUUGUUAUUUUAAAUUUUAUCAAUGAAUUUUAAUUGUAGGUUGUGUCGUUUAUUUUAAUUUGUUUAAUUUAAUUUUGCAUCUAAUUUAACUUAACUGUGUUUAGAAAUUUAGUUGCAUUGUUCAAUUCAAAAUUUUCAUGCAUUUUAAUUUAGUGUAAGUCUCAUAUGAAAUACUUUCAAACCCCC